rnacentral:rRNA from 1 species
GAUGAACGCUGGCGGCGUGCCUAAUACAUGCAAGUCGAGCGAACAGACGAGGAGCUUGCUCCUCUGACGUUAGCGGCGGACGGGUGAGUAACACGUGGAUAACCUACCUAUAAGACUGGGAUAACUUCGGGAAACCGGAGCUAAUACCGGAUAAUAUAUUGAACCGCAUGGUUCAAUAGUGAAAGACGGUUUUGCUGUCACUUAUAGAUGGAUCCGCGCCGCAUUAGCUAGUUGGUAAGGUAACGGCUUACCAAGGCAACGAUGCGUAGCCGACCUGAGAGGGUGAUCGGCCACCCUGGAACGGAGCCACGGUCCAGAGGCCUACGGGAGGCAGCAGUAGGGAAUGUUACGCAAUGGGCGAAAGCCUGACGGAGCAACGCCGAGUGAGUGAUGAAGGUCUUCGGAUCGUAAAACUCUGUUAUUAGGGAAGAACAAAUGUGUACGUAAACAUGCACGUCGUGACGGUACCUAAUCAGAAAGCCACGGCUAACUACGUG